rnacentral:rRNA from 1 species
AAUAUUGGGCAAUGGGGGAAACCCUGACCCAGCCACGCCGCGUGAGGGAAGAAGUCUUUCGGGUUGUAAAGCUCUUUAAGUUGGGAUGAAGGGCCGUAAGUUAAUACCUUGCUUUUUUUCCGUUACCGCCAGAAUAAGCACCGUCUAACCCUUUCCCAGCAGCCGCGGUAAUACAGCGGGUGCAAGCGUUAAUCGGAAUUACUGGGCGUAAAACGCGCGGAGGAGGCUGAGGAAGAUGGGUGUGAUAUCCCCGGGCGUAACCUGGGAACUGCUUUAAUAAAUGCUGAGCUAGAGUACGGUAGAGGGUAGUGGAAUUUCCUGUGUAGCGGUGAAAUGCGUAGAUAUAGGAAGGAACACCAGUGGCGAAGGCGACUACCUGGACUGAUACUGACACUGAGGUGCGAAAGCGUGGGGAGCAAAC